rnacentral:rRNA from 1 species
UACGUAGGGCGCAAGCGUUAUCCGGAAUUAUUGGGCGUAAAGAGCUCGUAGGCGGUUUGUCGCGUCUGCCGUGAAAGCCCACGGCUCAACCGUGGAGGGUCAUUGGAAACUGGGGAACUUGAGUGCAGGAGAGAAGACUGGAAUUCCUGGUGUAGCGGUGAAAUGCGCAGAUAUCAGGAGGAACACCGGUGGCGAAGGCGGGUCUCUGGGCCGUAACUGACGCUGAGGAGCGAAAGCAUGGGGAGCGAACAGG